UACGUAGGAUGCUAGCGUUGUCCGGAUUUACUGGGCGUAAAGCGCGCGCAGGCGGCACUGUAAGUAAGGUGUGAAAUCUCCCUGCUCAACGGGGAGGGUGCACUUUAGACUGCAGAGCUAGAGGACGGUAGAGGGGGGUGGAAUUGCUGGUGUAGCGGUGAAAUGCGUAGAUAUGCGGAGGAGCACCGAUGGCGAAGGCAAUCCCCUGGGCCUGCACUGACGCUCAUGCACGAAAGCGUGGGGAGCAAACAGG
rnacentral:rRNA from 1 species